rnacentral:tRNA from 1 species
GCCGAAGUGGCGGAAUAGGUAGACGCACGGGUCUCAAAAACCCGCGAGCUCGCUCGUGCCGGUUCGAUUCCGGCCUUCGGCACCA